rnacentral:rRNA from 1 species
AGACCCGAAACCCGGUGAUCUAGCCAUGGGCAGGUUGAAGGUUGGGUAACACUAACUGGAGGACCGAACCGACUAAUGUUGAAAAAUUAGCGGAUGACCUGUGGCUGGGGGUGAAAGGCCAAUCAAACCGGGAGAUAGCUGGUUCUCCCCGAAAGCUAUUUAGGUAGCGCCUCGUGAAUUCAUCUCCGGGGGUAGAGCACUGUUUCGGCUAGGGGGCCAUCCCGGCUUACCAACCCGAUGCAAACUGCGAAUACCGGAGAAUGUUAUCACGGGAGACACACGGCGGGUGCUAACGUCCGUCGUGAAGAGGGAAACAACCCAGACCGCCAGCUAAGGUCCCAAAGUCAUGGUUAAGUGGGAAACGAUGUGGGAAGGCCCAGACAGCCAGGAUGUUGGCUUAGAAGCAGCCAUCAUUUAAAGAAAGCGUAAUAGCUCACUGGUCGAGUCGGCCUGCGCGGAAGAUGUAACGGGGCUAAACCAUGCACCGAAGCUGCGGCAGCGAACGUAUCACCCAAGACAACUUUACGGAGUUGACGAUUGACGGAGCGAAGCGACGUCAAAGCGUUCAUUAAAGUCGAGUUGGCUUAGGGAUACGUUCGUUGGGUAGGGGAGCGUUCUGUAAGCCUGUGAAGGUGUGUCGUGAGGCAUGCUGGAGGUAUCAGAAGUGCGAAUGCUGACAUAAGUAACGAUAAAGCGGGUGAAAAGCCCGCUCGCCGGAAGACCAAGGGUUCCUGUCCAACGUUAAUCGGGGCAGGGUGAGUCGACCCCUAAGGCGAGGCCGAAAGGCGUAGUCGAUGGGAAACGGGUUAAUAUUCCCGUACUUGGUGUUACUGCGAAGGGGGGACGGAGAAGGCUAUGUUGGCCGGGCGACGGUUGUCCCGGUUUAAGCGUGUAGGUGUGUGUUCCAGGUAAAUCCGGUUCACUUUAACACUGAGGCGUGACGACGAGGCACUACGGUGCUGAAGCAACAAAUGCCCUGCUUCCAGGAAAAGCCUCUAAGCAUCAGGUAACACGAAAUCGUACCCCAAACCGACACAGGUGGUCAGGUAGAGAAUACCAAGGCGCUUGAGAGAAUUCGGGUG